UAAGAAGGGGGAAGAGUCAGUUGACGAGGACGAUCUCCUUGCCUAUGACAAGGAGGACGCCAACGUCACAGUGUUGCGUAAAGACAAAAAAGGAGAUGGUGAGAGUAACCCAAAUUAAUCUCCACCACUCCAAAGCAGCCUCGGCUGCACUGCUCCUCCGAAUGGGUGUAAGUGGGGAGGAGCUCGCCCUAGUCCAGGAACCCUGGAUUCACCAAGAAAGGGUGAGUGGACUAGGCAUGAAAAGCUUUAAGCUAUUGUACGCAAAAGGAUCUGUGAUGAAGACACCGUAGCAGCCAUAUGGGAGACCAGUGUAGGUGCUAUAUUGGUUAUCUCGGCGUACAUGGCUCACGAUCACAGCGACCAGCCACCGAACAACCUGGUCUGCAGAUCCAUAGAGAUGGCAAACUCAAAAAGCAUGCCGAUCAUUAUGGGGGCUGAUGCCAACGCCCAUCACACUGUCUGGGGAAGCUCGGACAUAAACGCUAGAGGGCCCACAACCUGGACUAUUGUUAGCUGGAGCUAUACAGUUGCCACCUGAUUACAGUGCUUCUUCUUUUAAUUGGUGUGUCAGGGUGCACACGACAUUGUCAAAAACUUUAAAGUGGCAGUGGAAAGUGUUAAAUUUUUUAAGAAAAUGUAAUCUUUUUAAGUUUAUUACAUAAAAAAGUGGUAAGAAGACAAUGUUGUUAAAAAUAAUAAAGUUCGAAUAUUGGUCUAAUGGUACUGAUGGACGACCUUUGUUUGAGUUAUAAUUUUAGGAAACGUUAUAAUAGACCAAUCUUCGACACGACAGAAGCGUGAAAAAACGAAGGAUUUAUGUUCUAAAAAGUUAACAUCAGUUCUUACCUCUGCUACCGACAUGAGAUAUGAGGCGAUCUUAAUGAAUAAGUAUACAAGGAAUGAAAAUUUCGCAAGUGAGUAUAAAACUUUUAAAACUGAUAAAACAACAUGAUGUCACCAAAAGAAGCUUUGGGUGUCGUGAGAGCUAUCAACCUUUACGUCCAAAGGCUAAUUAGUCAUUUCCAUCAUAUAAAUUAGUACAUGAAGCUAAAAAACUGUGCUACCCAAAGUACAGUAUUUACUUCAGCACACUAGCGAACGUCUAACAAAGAGGAUUGAUUUUAAAUAUGCUUGAACCUUCACAGUAAAUGGGGUCUUGAUAAGACCACUGGACAUAACCGUUAUAACGUUGUGUGAAAAUAGACUUCAAGGCAUUUAAAAAAGUAAUAAACUUUAAGUUCAGCGUACAUGCUGCUUGGGUAUAAGUGGUGCCAUGUGUACUACUUCAACCAAGGCUCUGGAAACGUUGCUAGG